GGAGGAGGAGGGAGGCUGAAGGAGAAACAGAGGAGAACACAGAGGCAGGCUUUGCCUUUUCUGGUAGUUAAAGUGGCUGAAAGAACAAGCAGGAAUUCUUCAUGUAGCAGAAGGGCUGAGAUAAAAACCAGACUGUAGAAGUUGAUGUAUGCAGAGAGGGCGAGACGCUGCUUUUCAUGGACUAAACUUCAGCUACUGUUAAGUGAAAAAUUUAGGAGAAUCUUUUGGGCAUCAUGGAGGAUGACUUCGACCGCCGCAUGGAGCUGAGGAGGCAGAGGAGGGAGCAGAUGCGCCUUGAGGAGAACAGUGUUGGUUUCACCAAUGACGAUGAUGAGGAGGAAGCUCGAGAGCGACGGCGUCGUGCGAGGGAGGAGAGAAAGAAGAUGAGGGACUCGGAGGAGUCUGGAUCCACUGAUGUGAUUAACACUAGUGUGAUGGAGACCGAUUCCACCGCCGGAGGUACAGAUGAUGACCAGGCUCUGCUGGACCGGCUCGCUAAGAGGGAGGAGCGCAGGCAGAGGAGGAUGAAGGAGGCCAUGGAGAGACAGAAGGAUCUUGACCCCACCAUCAGCACCACCAAUGGUACGGACAGCACACCGGAAGAGGAAUCCUCAGUCAGCAGCAGCAGACGGGAACAUACAGAGGAGGAGGAGGAGGAGGAGGAGGAAGAGGAGGAAGAGGAGGAGAAGAAGAAGGAGGAACCAGCCCAAGAGGAGGUGGCAGAAACGGAUACAAACUCCUGGAAGAAGGAGGAUGAGGACAAGAACGAGGAUGAGAAGCAAUCUGUUGAGGAAUCAAGAACAACAAGCACAAGAGAUGAGGAGGAGACUGAGGAGGUGGCUGCAGCAGCUGAAGAGGAGAUGGAUCCGAAAGAUGCUGAAGAGAAAUCUGUGGAAGAAGAGGAAGAGGAAAGAAAUAGGAGAGCAGAAGAGGAGAGAAAAGAACAGGAAGAAAAGCUGAGGACAGAAGAAGAGGAAAGGCAAACAAGGGAAACUGAAGAAAAGAUAAAGAAAGAGGAGGAGGAGAGACAGCUGAAGGAGGAGGAGGGAAGGCAGAGGAGGGAAGAGGAGGAAAGCCAACAGAAGGAGAUGGAAGAGAGGCUAAGAAAAGAGGAAGAAGAAAAACAGAAACGGGAGACGGAGAUGGAGGAAAAACUGAAGCGAGAAGAAGAGGAAAGACAGAAAAGGGAGAUGGAAGAGAGACAAAAGAAAGAGGAGGAUAAACAAAAAAAGGAGAUGGAAGAAAAGAAGAAAAAAGAAGAGGACGAUAAACGGAGAAAAGAAAUGGAAGACAAGAAGAAGAAAGAGGAGGAAGAAAAGAUGAAGAAGAAAGAGCUAGAGGAGAAGAAGAAGAAGAAAGAGGAGGAGGAGAGACGGAAAAAGGAGAUGGAAGCAAAAAAGAACGAGGAGGAGGAAAAGCGGAAAAAGGAGGCUGAAAUAAAGAAGAAAAAAGAGGAAGAGGAGAAGCGCAUCAGGAGAGAGAUGGAGGAGAAAAAGAAAGAGGAGGAGAAGCCAAAGAGAUUUGGUUUUAAGGAAAAGGAACCAGCCAAACUGAACGGAUCUCUUUUUGAGAACAGACUUAAGAAAACAGAGAAGACAUCAAGUGUUCCCUCCACCAAGGCCGAUGACGCAGAGCGACAGGAGGCCGAACGUAAGCUGCAGGAGCUGAAGCGCCGACGAAACGAUGCAGAAAGCGAGGAGAUGGAAAAGAUGAAGCAGAAGCAGCAGCACGCAGAGGCCGAGCUGGAAGGGCUGAAGAAGAAGAGAGAAGAGAGGAGGAAGAUCAUGGAGGAGGAGGAGAGGCAGAAGAAACAGGAGAUGGAGGAGAAGAAAGCCAAAGAACAGGAGGAGAGGAAAAGGAUGAAGGAGGAGAUUGAGAAAAGGAGGGCAGAGGCUGCAGAGAAGAAGAAAAUCAUGGAAGAGGUGGUGUCUACUAAACCCUCCUUUGCUAUCAGUCCCAAAGGAUCAUCAAAGAUUGGAGAAAAGGCAGAAUUCUUGAACAAAUCAGCCCAGAAGAGCAGCGCACCCAAAGUGUCUCACACUCCGAUCAUGUCCAAGAUAGGAAACAGAUUGGAUCAGUACACUUCUGCCAUCCAGGGAAACAAAGAAGCAAAAUCUCCAAAGUCGCCAAUGGCAGAUAUUACUACAGGAGGCACACGGAGCAUCAAGAGCAUGUGGGAGAAGGGCAACGUCAGCAGCUCCUCUGAAAGUCCACCCCCUGCUAACAAGGAUGUGGCUGUUAUCAAAGGAGGCGUGACAGGACGUGUCAACAGCUGGAUGGCAAAGCCUGCAGACACGGAGAAGGUAGCAACACCUUCACCCGCACCUGCACCUGUAGCGGCACCGGCAGUGGCAUCACCACCGGCAAAGCCUGCAGAUGGGAAACCAGGUGACAUCGGUAACAAGCGUGGCAUGUGGGAAACCAAGAAGGGCUCUGCACCCGGCAAGUUUACCAGAUAAACGGGUGUCAGAGUUGGCAGCUGGAGUCAAGAGCAAGUUUACCACAAAUGCAGGUGUGAGACCCUAGCUACUGACAUCACCUUUAAAAUAAAGCCUUACCCCCCCCCCCCCCCCCCCCAAACACAAGGCUCUGCUCUGUGUUUGAAUCAAUUUCCCCUCAACCUUAGUUCCUGUAUUUUUGAUGACGUUCAAACCAGACUGAGGACAAGACAAGACAAGGGACCAGCAUCAACUACACUUCAGAACUCCAGCAUCUAUGUUGUUUCAUUUCCCUAAUAUGCAAUACCUAGUAAGGGUCUCCAGGACAAAGUACCACAUGUUAAAUGAUAAUAGAUAAUAGAUAAUGGAUUGUGUAUUUCAUAUCUGUUUAAUCAAAGUUACUCUUUUCAAAUGGCUGUCUGGAUGCAUCAAUAUUAUAUUGUUUUGAAGCCAAGCUGCUGGUUUUGCUCUUCUUGUUGUUAUACAGCUUAUGUGCAAUCGAAAGAAUUUAAGCUUUAUUGUCCUUCACUGCCACUGUUUUAUUUGAAUGAUAGUUACUAUUUUGACUGCAUGUAAUAACCAAAAUCUACUUGAUGGACUCCCAUGAUCCUCAAAGCGCUUAUGCCCUGCUUCCUUUGGUCAUCAUGCGGCUUUUCAUCUGGUUUGAGUGAGACGUCUCAUCAGUUAUUGAGUUGAUUGCUAUGAUAUUUUUGACACACAAUCAUCAAGAUUUUCCCUUAUUAUGUUUAUCAAGUGUGCUGUCAUGCCGUUUAGUGCCAUCGUCAGGUCAAAUCAUAAGCUGAUGACCAAAUAUUUACUAAAAUUAACAUUCCCAUCUGCCUCUUCUAUACGUUAGAUUCAUUGCUGGUUAAUUAUUAAAUGUUUUUCUGACCAUGGUCAGCAAUACACCAGCUUAUUAUUUGUUAUUUUAAACAACUUAGAAAGACGUUAGCAUUAAGCUAAAGCCUCACAGAGUGACUGGCAGAGCUGUAGACUCACUGUUUGUUAGCUCUAACCUCCUAGGGAACUUUGUAGGACAUCUGGACCUAAUUUCACUUACCAGCAACUUAUUUUAAGUGACAACUGAAAGCUGGGGUUGUUGUAGCUUCAACAACUCAUUUAAUUAUCAUUUAUGUGAAUUCAUAACAGAAGACUUUAUGUCUUAUUAGAAAAAAGGUUUGUUAGUUAGCAAUGUUUAUGAAAACCACAGGGUGCCUUAUCAUAAAGAGGUACCGUUGACCUCACAGGAGCAGAUAAAACCAGUCGUACAUUUUAGCUCAUAACUACAGGAUAAGGGUUUGUUACCUUUUUCGCUUGCCUCAGAUUAAAAAUCACAUUUUUCAUUUUAUACAGCACCAAAACAGUCUACAUAUAUGUGUUAAAGUAUCCACUGUGAAACUACUCAGUGACCAAAUGCAACGCUAUUCAACAGACAGUCUUAACAAACAUCAGUUCACUCAUUUUGCAGUUUAAUUGCACUGCAGCAGGAAUAAAGUUUAAGAAGACAUGAGCAAUAUGCACUCUGUUUUAACAAUGCCUGUAAUCUACUUCAAGCUGUACCCUUGUGCUCCCGUCUGUCAGCAGCGCACAUAAA